rnacentral:misc_RNA from 1 species
AACUUUAUAAAUAUUCUAGUACAGAAAGAGGAACACCCCAACUGGAUCAAGUUUGAUUCAACCCAAUUAUCCAAAUCCUAAGAGAGAGCUAGGCCUGAAAAGCAAAUCCUAGGGUACAUUUGAUCUUCAACACAAAAUGGACCAUGACCUGACACUUUUGUAGCACAGGAACCCUUUUCGCCAUUGAAGCCCACUCGGAAAACAGAGCAAGCUAUUAAAUACUCUUGAUGUAUGUGCACCCUGAACUCAUAAAUUUAGGCCUCACAUUCUUAAAUUUAGAGAGCAACAGAUUUUUUUAGAGCGAUGAAUACACUAUUUUUUUUUAGUGUAGAAGAUGCACCAUAUAAUUUACCAAAAAAUAGAUCUACACCAAAGGAGCCUCAUCAAAGUAAGAUGGCAACCAUGCAAAUUCUCCUGCACCAAACCAUACUUGAAGGAUCUUCUUUUCCCCAAAGAGUCCCAAUGGCUUCCAGGCAGUUCAAAUAAGCCUAACACAUUAGAGAACUCCCAAUAGAUGUAGAAAAUCGGUAAGAGCAGAGAAGAAAAUGUUGAUGGUGUUUUUUAGUGUCCCAUUCGCGUCUUCUCAACCAGUUUACUAAUUUGCACCCCGCAAU